UGGGGAAUCUUGGACAAUGGGGGCAACCCUGAUCCAGCCAUGCCGCGUGAGUGAUGAAGGCCUUAGGGUCGUAAAGCUCUUUCGCCUGUGAAGAUAAUGACGGUAGCAGGUAAAGAAACCCCGGCUAACUCCGUGCCAGCAGCCGCGGUAAUACGGAGGGGGUUAGCGUUGUUCGGAAUUACUGGGCGUAAAGCGCACGUAGGCGGACCAGAAAGUUGGGGGUGAAAUCCCGGGGGCUCAACCCCGGAACUGCCUCCAAAACUAUUGGUCUAGAGUUCGAGAGAGGUGAGUGGAAUUCCAAGUGUAGAGGUGAAAUUCGUAGAUAUUUGGAGGAACACCAGUGGCGAAGGCGGCUCACUGGCUCGAUACUGACGCUGAGGUGCGAAAGUGUCGGGAGCAAACAGGAUUAGAUACCCCUGGUAGUCCACACCGUAAAACGAUGAAUGCCAGUCGUCGGGUAGCAUGCUAUUCGGUGACACACCUAACGGAUUAAGCAUUCCGGCCUGGGGAGUACGGUCGCAAGAUUAAAACC
rnacentral:rRNA from 1 species